rfam:Brachypodium distachyon strain Bd21 chromosome 2, whole genome shotgun sequence.
GGACUACUCCCUCCGUCCCAUAUUAAGUGACUCAAAUCCGCCCAAAUAUGAAUGUAUCUAUACCUAAAAAACGUCUAGAUACAUGUAAUAGAAAGUCACUUAAUAUGAGACAGAGGGAGUACUUC